rnacentral:rRNA from 1 species
UGAUUAUUUUAAUGGCCGCGGUAUCUUGACCGUGCAAAGGUAGCAUAAUCAUUAGUCUAUUAAUUGUAGACUUGUAUGAAUGGUUGGACGAGAUAAUAACUGUCUCAUAAUCAAUUUUUGAAGUUAAAUUUUUAGUUAAAAUGCUUAAAUUUUUUUAUUGGACGAGAAGACCCUAUAGAUCUUUAUUUUAAGUUUUUAUUUUAUUUUUGGUUUAUUGUUUUAUUUUAAAUUUUUAAUUUUUGGUUGGGGUGACAUUGGGAUAUAAAUAACUCUUUAUUAUAUUAUUCAUUUAUUUUUGUAUAAUUGACCUUUUAUUAUUGUUAAAAGAUAUAGAUACCUUAGGGAUAACAGCGUUAUUCUUUUUGAGAGUUCUUAUCGACAAGAGAGAUUGCGACCUCGAUGUUGGAUUAAGAUUACAUUUAUGGUGUAGUAGCUUAAAUUGUAGGUCUGUUCGACCUUUAAAAUCUUACAUGAUCUGAGUUCAAAACCGGAGA